rnacentral:rRNA from 1 species
CAGCCGCCGCGGUAAUACGAGGGGGGCAAGCGUUGUUCGGAAUUAUUGGGCGUAAAGGGUGCGUAGGCGGUUUGGCAAGUUUGGUGUGAAAUCUUCGGGCUCAACUCGAAGUCUGCAUCGAAAACUGCCGGGCUUGAGUAUGGGAGAGGUGAGUGGAAUUUCCGGUGUAGCGGUGAAAUGCGUAGAUAUCGGAAGGAACACCUGUGGCGAAAGCGGCUCACUGGACCAUAACUGACGCUCAUGCACGAAAGCGUGGGGAGCAAACAGGAUUAGAUACCCCCGUAGUCCCUGUCUCUUAUAC